UGAACGGAUAGACAAAGCAAAACGUGCUGUCGAGUUACAAGCUCAACAGCACGUUUUUUUGUUCCAUGCUAGGCCGUUCGU
rnacentral:tRNA from 1 species